rnacentral:sRNA from 1 species
CACUCAAGAAUAUCGCUAUACGAGUAUAAGCUCAACCUAAUUUGAUAUUCUACAUAGUUGAAGAAGACUAAAUCUCAAACAUGAAGCUCGCACUGAUUCUUGUGGCCGCUUUAGCAGUCGCUUCACGACCACCUCAUCCGUGGCAAGUCCCUGGCAGCGGUUAGGUCAGCACGGACUCAUUCCCAAAAGUUUUCCGAUAAUAAAAGGGUCAAGUACAGAGAUGUCAUUGGUCGAACACAGCUUCUAUAUUAGCUACAUCAGUUAGGAUGAAUUUAUGUGUAUCUCUCAAAGAU